UAAUGAUAAGUUCAAAGGGGCA
rnacentral:siRNA from 1 species